rnacentral:rRNA from 1 species
GACGAACGCUGGCGGCGUGCCUAAUACAUGCAAGUCGAACGCAGUGGGGACGGGUGAGUAACACGUGGGUAACCUCCCAUCAGAGGGGAUAACACUUGGAAACAGGUGCUAAACCGCUACUGCUGGAUGAACCCGCGGUGCAGUAGCUAGUUGGUGAGGUAACGGCUCACCAAGGCCACGAUGCAUAGCCGACCGGAGAGGGUGAUAGGCAACACUGGGACUGAAACACGGCCGAGACACCUACGGGAGGCAGCAGUGGGGAAUCUUAGGAAAUGGACGAAAGUCUGACCGAGCAACGCCGCGGGAGUGAAGAAGGUGUUCGGAUCGUAAAACUCUGUUGUUAGAGAAGCGGUAUCUAACCAGAAAGCCACGGCUAACUACGUGCCAGCAGCCGCGGUAAUAC